UGAGGUGAUGACAAAACACCAAAUACUAGGAAUUCCUCUUUCCGAAGAUCACAUGUGGAUACCAUUAUUUUGUUUCAGCCUUGUCUGAUC
rnacentral:snoRNA from 1 species